rnacentral:snRNA from 1 species
AGCAGCAGCAGCAGCAGCAGCCUGAAAUUUGAAGGAGAUAGAGAUGAUUAGCAUGGCCCCUGUGCAAGGAUGACAUGUAGAUUUGUGAAGAGUUCUAUAUUUAA